AUAAGGCAUAUAUUUUUGUUAAAAAGAGAACAAAACCAUCCUUCACACGUGCAAUGAUGUCCAAGGGAAACAACGGUGUUUGAAGUAACUUCUUUGUUUUUGUAAUAUCUCAAACGGUCGUGGCAGUUUCACCAAGUACGGAUCCCGACCCAAAAAAUUACAUAUUGUAACUUUAAGUCUGACCGAACACUCUAGAGCUACCCCUGCCCCUAACCCUGGAUUGUGUGUUUUCCAUAUUGAUUUGCCUACCAAGUGAUGAUUUCAAAUCAGUGCAGAUGAAGGAGAGGAGAAGAAGCCACUUUACAAACUCCCCCUCCGUUCAUCUCCAUCUUCCUUCCUCCCUCCGUUUAUCUCCCCAGCUUUUUCCCAAUGUCUCCCUCUCCCUCCCUUUCCUCCUCCCUUCCUCUCUAGGUUUGCCAGUCAUGGGGCAGUCAUUUGGUUUGGGGUGUUCAUGCGGACCCAGGAAGGGGCGUGCAUCAGAAGGUGGGGGAUAUGCUGCAGGUGCAGCCUAGUGAAGCUACAACGCACACAAGGUCCCAGGCGACCGCUCCCUCACCUGCCCGAGCCUGGAACCUACGUGCUGCAUUUUGACAACACCUACAGCUUACUGCAGUUUAAAAACAUCAGCUAUACUGUGGAUGUUGUACUGCCAGACGGACAUGUCCAGAGUCCUAGGAGUAACAGAGGGGAUGGACGGCUGGAGUAACACACACACACGAAUAUGAGAUCUGGAUAGUGAAGAUAGCAAUGUACAUUAUACAGUGCUGUUUAAACACCACUGUUCUCAGUUAUGGGCAUUGAUAUGACAAGUAACCCACAGUUAUAACUUUUCCUAUUUUCUGUUGACACAAAUAAUCAUUCGUKUAAGCAUUUCAUACAAGAGUCAGAAUUGAUUUGAGUUAGGACUAUAUGACUUUGUUUUAUUGGAGCCUAUUGUGUGAAUGUAAUAUCAUUUAUUUUCCCCGAAAAGUACUUUCCAGUGUCUGUAGUGACUUCUGUGUAUUUUAGGCUUCAUUAGACCAAUGUAAAAAUACAAAUUGUGCAAAUAGGGAUAUAAAGGAAUGAUUAUGAAGUGGGAGAUAAAUAUCCUCGCUAUCGUUUUGUGUUUUCACUGUUGAUAACUCUCUUUAACUAUUUAAUUAACAUUUUCAUUGAUGGCAGCUGAUGYACAGGCUCGAUAUCUUCAUAGGUUGUUUAAGCAUAAAUAAAGAUUAUUCUUACCCAAUGUUAA